UACAGAGGUCUCGAGCGUUAGGCGGAAUCACUGGGCUUAAAGCGUGUGUAGGCGGAUCGUUAAGUACCUUGUGAAAUCCCACGGCUCAACCGUGGAACCGCUGGGUAUACUGGUUGUCUUGAGCCGGCUAGGGGCGAGCGGAACAGACGGUGGAGCGGUGAAAUGCGUAGAUAUCGUCUGGAACGCCGAAGGUGAAAACAGCUCGCUGGGGCCGCGCUGACGCUGAGACACGAAAGCCAGGGGAGCGAACGGG
rnacentral:rRNA from 1 species